CGGACGGGUGAGUAACGCGUGAGCAACCUGCCUUUCAGAGGGGGAUAACGUUUGGAAACGAACGCUAAUACCGCACGAUAUGAUCGAACCGCAUGGUUUGAUGAUCAAAGGAGCAAUCCGCUGAAAGAUGGGCUCGCGUCCGAUUAGGUAGUUGGCGGGGUAACGGCCCACCAAGCCGACGAUCGGUAGCCGGACUGAGAGGUUGAACGGCCACAUUGGGACUGAGACACGGUCCAGACUCCUACGGGAGGCAGCAGUGAGGGAUAUUGGUCAAUGGGGGAAACCCUGAACCAGCAACGCCGCGUGAGGGAAGACGGUUUUCGGAUUGUAAACCUCUGUCCUCUGUGAAGAUAAUGACGGUAGCAGAGGAGGAAGCUCCGGCUAACUACGUGCCAGCAGCCGCGGUAAUACGUAGGGAGCAAGCGUUGUCCGGCUUUACUGGGUGUAAAGGGUGCGUAGGCGGGCUUGCAAGUCAGAAGUGAAAUCUAUGGGCUUAACCCAUAAACUGCUUUUGAAACUGUAAGUCUUGAGUGAAGUAGAGGUAGGCGGUAUUCCCGGUGUAGCGGUGAAAUGCGUAGAGAUCGGGAGGAACACC
rnacentral:rRNA from 1 species